ACGAAAUCUAGUGACGAUAAACAAUUACGUCACCGGAUGUUUGCAUUAGGUGAGGAAAAGAAGAUUUCGUCACCAAAUAGUUUAAAUGGGUGACAAAAUCAAUAUUUUGUCACUAAAAAUGUUCAAAUUGGUGACGAAAUAUUUAUUUGCAUCACCAAAGACUUACCUUAGGUGACAAAAUAUGUUUUCGUCACCUGUUGUUAAAAAUGAUAGCGGGCUCUCAAUAUUUUUGCGCGGUGCUCAUGCCCAAUUUUCGGCGCCUUCAAAUAUUUUUAAAACUUAGUCUUUCAGCCUUUCAGCCUCACGCAUAAACAAAACCCAAUACCCCCACCUUUUAGCCUUUCAGUUUCAGUUUUAGCUUCCCACCUUCUCAAAAAUAAAUAAAAUAAGCUCUCAACCUCACGCCUAAACAAAACACAAUACCCACAAACCUCACGCCUCUUAGCCUCCCUCAUCAAUGGAAUCAUUUUUUUCUUCGUGCCAUUUUCAGUGAGGAGAGUUCAUUCGUCGACUUCACCGAUGUAAGGAAAAAGGGCUUUCCAAUGGCUCCAAUCGAAACCCAUUUCAGAUAUGAGAUUGGUGGCAAAGAGACAGUUUUUGUGGUGCAACUUGAACUCAAAUCACUUUUUGUAAAGUAUGAGAAGACAUCAUUUAUAUAUAAAUGGCUGUAAUUACUUUGUGAACAACUCGGUUCAAUGGUUUUAAAAGUAUAAUGGUUCUUUAUUUCCUUUGUAAAUUGUAUGGAUGAUUUUUUUAUGGAUUUGGUUGGAAAUGAAUGGAUGAUUUGUUUAUGAA